AUACGGAGGAUCCGAGCGUUAUCCGGAUUUAUUGGGUUUAAAGGGUGCGCAGGCGGCCAUUUAAGUCAGCGGUUAAAUCGUGGGGCUCAACCCCAUUCUGCCGUUGAUACUGGGUGGCUUGAUUGCGGUAGAGGUUGGCGGAAUUCGUUGUGUAGCGGUGAAAUGCAUAGAUAUGACGAAGAACACCGAUUGCGUAGGCAGCUGACCAGACCGCAAAUGACGCUCAUGCACGAAAGUGCGGGGAUCGAACAGGAUUAGAUACCCUGGUAGUCCGCACAGUAAACGAUGAAUACUUGUUUUCGGCGAUAUAAUGUCGGAGGCAAAGCGAAAGCGAUAAGUAUUCCACCUGGGGAGUACGCCGGCAACGGUGAAACUCAAAUGAAUUGGCGGGG
rnacentral:rRNA from 1 species